ACUCAACGAGCUUUUAAUUCAGAGAGGUGAGUUUCAUUUGUAAAAGCAAGCUGUCUUGUAACAGAUCCUUGAUCAAUUGUGUAGCCUCAAACUUGAUUUUUUUAGGAGUUU
rnacentral:sRNA from 1 species